AGUGAACGCUGGCGGUAGGCCUAACACAUGCAAGUCGAACGGCAGCACAGUAAGAACUUGCUCUUACGGGUGGCGAGUGGCGGACGGGUGAGGAAUACAUCGGAAUCUACUUUUUCGUGGGGGAUAACGUAGGGAAACUUACGCUAAUACCGCAUACGACCUACGGGUGAAAGCAGGGGGUCUUCGGACCUUGCGCGAUUGAAUGAGCCGAUGUCGGAUUAGCUAGUUGGCGGGGUAAAGGCCCACCAAGGCGACGAUCCGUAGCUGGUCUGAGAGGAUGAUCAGCCACACUGGAACUGAGACACGGUCCAGACUCCUACGGGAGGCAGCAGUGGGGAAUAUUGGACAAUGGGCGCAAGCCUGAUCCAGCCAUACCGCGUGGGUGAAGAAGGCCUUCGGGUUGUAAAGCCCUUUUGUUGGGAAAGAAAAGCAGCAGGUUAAUACCCCGCUGUUCUGACGGUACCCAAAGAAUAAGCACCGGCUAACUUCGUG
rnacentral:rRNA from 1 species